CCUACGGGUGGCAGCAGUGGGGAAUAUUGGGCAAUGGGCGCAAGCCUGACCCAGCAACGCCGCGUGAAGGAAGAAGGCUUUCGGGUUGUAAACUUCUUUUCUGAGGGAAGAGCAGACUGCCGUACCUCUUGAAUAAGCCACGGCUAAACACGUGCCCGCCGCCGCGGUAAUUCGGAGGUGGCAAGCGUUUACCGGGUUUACUGGGGGUAAAGGGCGUGCAGCAGGGAAUACAAGGCAGAUGUGAAAUCCCGGGGCUCAACCCCAGAACUGCAUUUGAAACUGUUGUUCUUGAGUACCGGAGAGGUAAUCGGAAUGCCUUGUGUAGCGGUGAAAUGCGUAGAUAUAAGGAAGAACACCAGUGGCGAAGGCGGAUGACUGGACGGCAACUGACGGUGAGGCGCGAAAGCGUGGGGAGCAAACAGGAUUAGAUACCCGGGUAGUC
rnacentral:rRNA from 1 species